UUUAUAUUUAAUUCUAUAAAAUUACUACCAAAUCCUAAUUUUGAUAAAUUUACAAUUUAAAAAAUUUUAAGGUAACCCACCUCUUCUUUUAAAAGCUGCACCUUGAUUUGAUCUGUAAUAAAAUUAUAUACAAAGAAAAUUAAAAUUUUUCCAAAAUUUUCAUUAACAACAACGAUAUACAAGCAAUAAUAAAAGUAAAAUAAAUCGUGAAUUAUCAAUUACAGGGCAGGUUCCUCUGGUAGGUUGGGGUACCGCCAAGAUAUUUGAUUUUCAAGCAUUUAACUAAUACUAAUCCAGUUUUUAUAAAACAACUUCAAUAACAGGGUAUCUAAUCCUGGUUUAAAAUAAAAUUUUAACAGAUCAUUUAUCCAAAAAAUCAAAAUUCCAUAUUAAAAUUUCACCCUCCAAUAAAAAUUUUAAAAUUUAUUUAUUAAUUAACUAAAACCACAAAAAUUAAGUAAUCCCUUUUGUAUAACCGCA
rnacentral:rRNA from 1 species